rnacentral:rRNA from 1 species
UACGGAGGGUGCAAGCGUUAUCCGGAUUCACUGGGUUUAACGGGUGCGUAGGAGGGCAGGUAAGUCAGUGGUGAAAUCUCCGAGCUUAACUUGGAAACUGCCGUUGAUACUAUCUGUCUUGAAUAUUGUGGAGGUGAGCGGAAUAUGUCAUGUAGCGGUGAAAUGCUUAGAUAUGACACAGAACACCGAUUGCGAAGGCAGCUCACUAAAUUGUAACUGACGCUGAGGCACGAAAGCGUGGGGAUCAAACAGG